UACGUAGGUGGCAAGCGUUGUCCGGAUUUACUGGGCGUAAAGGGCGUGCAGGCGGUCUGUUAAGUGCAGGGUGAAAGCUCCCGGCUCAACUGGGAGAGGUCCUUGCAUGCUGGCGGACUUGAGGGGGGUAGAGGAAAGUGGAAUUCCCGGUGUAGUGGUGAUAUGCGUAGAUAUCGGGAGGAACACCUGUGGCGAAGGCGGCUUUCUGGGCCCUACCUGACGCUGAGACGCGAAAGCGUGGGGAGCGAACCGGG
rnacentral:rRNA from 1 species